rnacentral:tRNA from 1 species
GGAGGAGUCAGAUAGUGGUUCAUUCUACGCGCUUGGAAAGCGCGCGGGCGCAAGCCCUCGUGGGUUCGAAUCCCACCUCCUCCG